GGGGAAAGUAAUGGGAGCGGGACUGGGUGGGGACCCCGGAGGAGGAAGUGGAGUGGUCAACGAGGAAAAGGGGAGUGGCCGAGGUGGGGCGGAGAGGAUGGUCCCGAGACUGUCAGCAACAUUUGAGGAGCCUCCUUGGCGUCCCCAGCCCUAGUCCUACGCUCUGGGAGGGGUGGGAAAGAGCUAGAUACCGUCCCUGUCCUCUAGGCGUUUACAAUCUGGUUGGAGAGACAAAACAUACACCUAUUAAAUAGCUGCAAAAGCAACUCCAAGGUAGCUUGUAAGCAAGGCUAUAAAAGAUAUGUAUAGAGUGUAUCUAGGGUGAAAUUCCACACAAAGCUUGGAAGGUCAUGACUCCUCAGGGAUCGGUCAAGGGGUUGGUGAAGGAGGUCCAGAGAAAGAUCAGAAAGAUCAUCAAGCAUUAGUAGCCCCUAUGGUUUGGCUUUACACCCAUCAAGAGGGGCUCAAAGCUCCAUGAGGAGCAAGGCAGGAGGUAGGACAGUGAGGCAGUUAGGGGUGGGAUGGAGCCAUGGAUUCCAGUAUUUGGCACGGCCGCUUACUAAUCUUGUACGGGUUGAGCUGCAUCAGAGUCCUUUUAGAGGAAGAGGCUCAGGACAUUCCUCCCAACCUCACUCGCACCUGAGAUGCUCCAGCCAAGGUCUGAAGCUUGACUCCUUCCUGGUCCCCGAGCCCCCAGCCACAGUCUGCACACCCAAGCUGGCGAGCGGGGGACCUGGAAAAUGCAGACACGAUCAUCCGACUUCUCGGCUUCACAUCUCUCUGUGGCUCUCCUGGCCCACCAGGUAACCCUUCUGGAAUCGAUUCCCUCUACCUACCUCUAACCCUGUCUUCCAGCUGUCCGCCCCACGCACAUGCUCCGUGCUCCAGCCUGGGCUGCCUCCUCCAGGACCCCAAGUGUUGGUCCCUGGUGACUUUUUGCUUGUUCACCAUCUGCCUGGAAGUUUUUAUGCCUCAACUUCAACUCCUGUUUUUACCUAAAGAACUCCUUUCCAUCUCACAAAACCCAGAUUGUGCCUUCUUAUCUAAGAAGCCCUCGAAGCGCCCAUUCCCCCGCCAUUCCCCCCCCCCCCCACCUUACCUGGUGACACCCGUGUGAUUGUGUUUAUUCACCUCUCUUGUGCCCUUCUUCAUCUUUGUACGCCAGCAUCCAGCACGGGUCUGACGCAUAGAAGGUGCUCCUCGGGGCGCCCAGGUGGCUCAGUCGGUUAAGCGGCCGACUUCGGCUCAGGUCAUGAUCUCACGGUCCGUGAGUUCGAGCCCUGCAUCGGGCUCUGUGCUGACAGUUCAGAGCCUGGAGGCUGUUUCC